UUAAAAAAGAACCUUGCACUUUUCCUAAUAGGGAAAUAUCCAGGUCAGAAAAUACACCUGAAAACUUUUAUUCAGAAAAUUUCAGCAGUUGCUCAGUGAAGAAGAGCAGAAGCUUCUUCAUACUUACCUGGUGCUGGAGGAGGCUGGUGCAAUUGUUAACCUCACUGUAACAAAAGGAAAGCAACACUUACAUCUACUGUGGGAUGUCAUGCAGGAAUGUGGGGCAUUGAUUAGAGCCUGGCCUACAAGAUAUCAGGAUCUGCUACAAAACAUGCGAAUUCGAGUUGCACAAAUUAGAGAUGGAAAUCUUGAGCUGUUUGUCCCUCAGGCCGACAGUGGGUCACAUGUCUGGAUUCUGCUUCACUCCCACUCUCCAGUCGCUGUGGUGGAAAAGCUCUGGAAUUACUUCACUGACUGUGAGGCCUACUGUUUAUUGUACAAACCAGUGGGACAAUUAUAUAUAAAGAAUAAAAUCAAGAUGUAUGUGUAUUUGAUUCCCAACUGUGACACUUUGGUUCAGGUAAAUUA